GCUCAGGAUGAACGCUGGCGGCGUGCCUAAUACAUGCAAGUCGAACGAGGUGCUUUUGUAGCAAUACGAGAGUAUCCUAGUGGCGAACGGGAGAGUAACGCGUUGGUGACCUACCCCAAAGUGAGGGAUAACAGUCCGAAAGGAUUGCUAAUACCACAUGUGGUCCUCGGGUUUAGAAACCGGUGACUAAAGGAGCAAUUCGCUUUGGGAGGGACCUGCGUCCCAUCAGCUAGUUGGUGAGGUAACGGCUCACCAAGGCGACGACGGGUAGGGGACCUGAGAGGGUGGCCCCCCACAAUGGAACUGAAACACGGUCCAUACACCUACGGGUGGCAGCAGUAGGGAAUAUUGCACAAUGGGCGAAAGCCUGAUGCAGCAACGCCGCGUGCACGAUGAAGGCCUUCGGGUCGUAAAGUGCUUUUCUGCGAGAUGAGAAAGGACAGUAUCGCAGGAAUAAGUCUCGGCUAACUACGUGCCAGCAGCCGCGGUAAAACGUAGGAGGCGAGCGUUAUCCGGAUUCACUGGGCGUAAAGCGCGUGCAGGUGGUUCGGUAAGUUGGGCGUGAAAUCUCCCGGCUCAACUGGGAGAGGUCGUUCAAUACUACCGAACUUGAGAGCAGAAGAGGAAGAUGGAAUUCCCGGUGUAGUGGUGAAAUGCGUAGAUAUCGGGAGGAACACCAGUGGCGAAGGCGAUCUUCUGGUCUGUUUCUGACACUCAGACGCGACAGCUAGGGUAGUAAACGGGAUUAGAGACCCCGGUAAUCCUAGCCGUAAACGAUGUGAACUUGGCGUUGGUGGGUUAAACUCCAUCAGUGCCGAAGCAAACGCGAUAAGUUCACCGCCUG
rnacentral:rRNA from 1 species